GCUCCUGCUGAAGAACAAAAGGAACCUACAGCAAUGGAUGUCCAAACCGAGGAUUUGUCUCCUGGACAGGCUCUGGAAAAUCGUAUUAAUCUCUGUUCAAGUGGUUGGCGCCCGUAUAAUUCCCGCUGCUAUAAACUUGUUAAAACUCAUUUUCUGACCUGGAUCGAAGCUCAGAAGCACUGCAAAGGUAUUGGAGGCCAUCUGGCUUCAGCCACCGACUCAGGAUUGUCAGUUUUCCUCCAAACGAUGAUGCAAAGAGCUAACGUGGAAGCUGCAUGGCUUGGAGGUUUCUGGCUGCAGGACUAUUGGAGGUGGAUUAAUGGCGAGGAUAUGCACUAUACAGGCUGGUCUCAUGACUUCCCCAUUUACCACCCACCGAC